AUAAAGCGUAUUUAAUUUACAUCGAAGUAGUUGCUCGGGGGAGGGGGUGGUCUCAUCCCCAACCCCACCCCGUUCCGUCAUCGGUCUCAUUCAAAGGUCUCUUUUGACCUCUCCUCCGCCCUCUUCUUCCCUUCUUCCCUUCUUCCUUAUCCCAGUUCUAAGCUCUCUCUUUCCCCCAUUGAAUGACUUCUGCCACUACAUAUAUAUAUCACCGUCGUCGUCGUCGUCAUAAUCAUUAUAAUUCUAACUUUUUAACCAUUUUCGAUUCUCUCUAACCAUGGGAAUUUGCCAUUCCGCCACCAAAGUUAGCAGCUCCAUCGGCAACGCCAACGACAACGCCAAUGGUAACGCCGUCACCGUCAUUCAAGGCGGCAAGGGGACCGCGAAGCCGAAAUCGGAGACGGUAAAGGCGAACCGUCGACGGCGCAAGGCGAGUCCGAAGAAGAGGCCAUGCGGUAAGCGCACUGAAUUCGGUUACGAGAAGGAUUUCGAUAAGCGUUACUCGCUGGGGAAAUUGCUAGGACACGGCCAGUUCGGUUACACCUAUGUCGGAAUCGACAAAGCCAAUGGCGAUCGCGUCGCAGUUAAGAGGCUCGAUAAGAGUAAGAUGGUUCAGCCUAUAGCCGUUGAGGAUGUUAAGCGAGAGGUCAAGAUUUUGAAAGCACUCGCUGGUCACGAUAAUGUGGUUCAGUUUUAUAAUGCUUUUGACGAUGAUUCUUACGUGUACAUAGUUAUGGAGUUAUGCGAGGGUGGAGAACUGCUAGAUCGGAUAUUGGCCAAGAAGGAAAGUCGUUACACUGAAAAGGAUGCAGCGGUGGUUGUAAGGCAGAUGCUCAAGGUUGCAGCUGAGUGUCAUUUAAAUGGUAUGGUGCACCGGGACAUGAAACCAGAGAAUUUUCUUUUCAAAUCAACCAAAGAAGAUUCACCUUUAAAGGCCACAGAUUUUGGUUUAUCAGAUUUCAUAAAACCUGGAAAGAAGUUUCAUGAUAUGGUUGGCAGUGCUUACUAUGUUGCACCUGAAGUGUUAAAACGUAAGUCAGGCUCUCAAUCAGAUGUGUGGAGUAUUGGUGUUAUUACAUACAUAUUGUUGUGUGGAAGGCGCCCAUUUUGGGAUAAGACUGAGGAUGGUAUCUUCAAAGAGGUCUUACGUAAGAAGCCCGAUUUCCGUCGGAAACCAUGGCCAACUAUAAGUAAUGCUGCAAAAGAUUUUGUUAAAAAAUUAUUGGUAAAGGAUCCUCGGGCGAGAUUAACUGCUGCUCAAGCUUUAUCACAUCCAUGGGUUAGAGAAGGAGGGGAAGCAUUGGAGAUUCCUAUUGAUAUAUCUGUCCUGAACAACAUGCGGCAGUUUGUGAAGUAUAGUCGAUUGAAACAGUUUGCACUGAGGGCAUUGGCAAGCACACUUAAUGAAGAAGAGCUGGCUGAUCUAAAAGAUCAAUUUGACGCUAUAGAUGUGGACAAAAAUGGUUCUAUUAGCCUGGAAGAGAUGAGACAGGCUCUUGCCAAAGAUCUUCCUUGGAGGUUGAAAGAAUCACGUGUGCUAGAGAUAUUGCAAGCGAUAGACAGCAACACUGAUGGGCUAAUUCAAUAUUGUGUGUUUGCAGAUAGACAGCAACACUGAUGGGCUAGUGGAUUUCCGUGAGUUUGUAGCAGCUACAUUACAUGUGCAUCAAUUGGAGGAAGACUCUGACAAGUGGCGGCACCUGUCACUGUCUGCUUUUGAGAUAUUUGACGUAGAUAAAGAUGGCUAUAUUACUCCAGAGGAACUUAGAAUGCAUACAGGCUUGAAAGGCUCCAUUGAUCCUUUGCUCGAGGAAGCUGAUAUUGACAAAGAUGGGAAAAUCAGCCUACCAGAGUUUCGUAAACUUCUAAGAACUGCAAGCAUGGGUUCUCAAAAGAUUUAUACCGCAUGUGGCUAUGUGCGGAGGAUAUAGAUUAGAGGUGCUUCAGAGACUGAGAUAAGUUUGGGGAUGCGAGAGUGGUGGAGUUCCUCUAAGUUAUUAUGUGAUUGUGCUGAAGCUCUUAAGAUUAUUUUCUAUUAUGCAGAUUUUAAUAACCAUCUGCGUUGAUAAUCUUUGAAACAAACUCCAGUUAUUGAUCGUGGUAUCCCCUGCACGGGGUUUAUGUCUACAAUGUCACGAGGCUACUUCAAGAUCUGUUUGGUAGAGUUUGUGUAGACCCUGCGUGGAUUGGCUUCAGGUAUUGCAGUUUCAGCAGUCUCAUAUAUGUCGGGGUUUUCUUGGUUGUGCAAUGCAUGCAAUGUGUAACUAAAUGAUUUUUUUUUUGCCACAGAAGAAAAAAAUAAAACUAAAUAAACAUGAAAUGAGAUACGGGGAUCAAAUUCUUUUCUCACUA